AUGGUCCCUUCUGGCCUUGGAAUUUGUGAACUGUAGAUUGUAGUCAGCUUCCUGGAAAUUUCAUGUUAUAGCUCUCAUGCAUUAGUACAGUAUCAUUAGCAUGAGCUUUGAACACCAAAGGAAAUUGUAACUUUGGAAUUAAAAAGAACAAAAACGCUCCUGGAAAUCUUUCAAUUGGCUGUAUGUUUUGAAAUAACUUUUUUACUUGAGGCCAAAUUUGCAUGACAGGGUCCUUUUCAGAGGAAACUGCUUUACAAUCAUUUUACUGGUGUUAUGUUUUUAUUUAAAAAAUAAUCUGCUUGAAAGGGACUCAAUUUGUGAUGAAGAUACAUGCCCAUGAGAGACUGAAUUGAUACUUCCAGUUCAUUUUAUAUGGGCUACCAGACAUAUAGCAACAAUUAUUUGCUGUUAUUUAAGUUGGUCUUAAUCUUCUAUGAAAGACUGAGCACCCUCUGCUCCCACUGAUGUUAAGGGAGCUGAGAUCCUUGCAGUAUAAUCUCUCCCUAGGGUGGGUAUGACCUAACAGUUUAGAAGUGAAAUGCUCUGUUACUAACCCCCUGUGCCAUCUAGCUCCUCAAUUCUCUGCAACUGGCAGUUUAAUGAGUAACUAAUUUGUUUUGUUUUGCCAAAUAGAUUUAAGAAUGCUCUCUUACUAACAUCUCUGCUGUCACCAGUUUAAAUAAAGAACAUGAAAUAGGCUUAAAUCCUGAGCAAGAGAUUUUAUUGUAAUAUAGAAACUUGUCAGCUACAACUUCCCAGGACUCAUUUCCUACUAAUCUUAUAAGUGAAAAUGGGUCAUGGGUGAGAGUGGUUAGAGGCUCUCAUAGUGCAAGCCUGUUUAGAGUUGUCUAUAUUCUGCAAGAAGCUGUAGUAUUAUUAUUUUUAUUAAAGUAGCAUCUAGAGACCCCCCAACUGAAAUUGGAGUCGCUUGUGUGAUAGGAAACACUGCAGAAGCCUGUUAUAAUCAAGUGAUGAUUAGUGUCCAUCUUUGUUAGAACAUUCUUAACGAAUACUUUAAAAGAUUUCCCCAAAGCUACCAGCAGUUUAGUCUAUUUUAUUGUAUCAUUAAUGUUUCUUUGGAAGAUUAGGGAAUUUUUUUGCAGCAAAUGUCCAUGAUUAAGAAAAUCACUGAUUGUUUACCCAGUAUUAAGAACACUUAAGUAGCUAUGCUGGAAGUAGUAAUAUCCUUACUGAUUGCAAGUUGUUGGUCUUUUUCUGUUUUCAUUAAGCAGUGCAAUGAAUCCAGAUCAUCUUUCUGGUGCUUAAGGUGAGUGUUUUGUGUAAUUUGGGAAAAUUAAAAACCCCUCAGGUCUUUCUGAGCCAUACAGGAAUAUAUAUAGUUGAGAUUCCAUCUUACAUUCAAAGAAUAUAAUAUAUUAGGAGUGAGUCUAAGUGUUGAAUUCAAGUGUUUUCACUCUUGUAUAUAAUUAAUUCUGUGUACUAUAUAAUCUUUUCCUUUUGUUGGCUGAUGAUCCUGUAUUGAAAGGUAAAAAUUUGCUAAAGAAUGUCAGACUUUGUUACCAUUAUGGUAUGUGUAAGAAACACAAAAAAAGCUGAUCUAAAGUUCAUCAAACAGGAAGAGUAAAGGUUAUGGCCUUCACUCAGAGCGAAAGCAACAAUGGAAUUGCUUAUUGGCAACAAGUAUCUAAUGUGUCAUAUUACCCAAGAGUGUAGUAAAAGUUAUGAACAAGUUGCAUGGAUCUCUACCAUUAGUAUCAAACCCGCUUAUGAAAUGUGCAGUAGCUAAUGGUUAAACCCAACAAGAAGUUUAUAUUGAUUAAUGGAAUAAAAUCAGCUCUGAGGUGUUUAAGUGGUGGACAGGAUUUACGCUGGUCUUCUGCAUAGGGGUGAAUUUCACCUUAACUUAUAAUACAGCCAUAUAGAACGUGCUUCUGAACUUUGGUUCAAACAUUGUAUUAAACCUGAGCUAACUGAAUUAAACCCUGGAUCGAAAUUCUCCUCCGGAGAGUUUAGAUUCAGAUUUGAACUUUGUGCAUUAGGCCCACCUCAAAACAUAAUGCCAAAUCCUUGAUUCCUGAAUAGAAAUUUACAGAGAGGAAUUGUGCGUGUGUGAAUAGGGUGAAACUUGGUGCCCAAACCUGAGCUCCUUAGUCAUUCCUUCACUUAGUGCUUACCUUGACAAACUCGUGUUUGCCUGGUGGGUAGAUGCAGAUUAGAAAUACUCAUUUUGAACAUGUGAAUUCAGGUGUCAGCAUGCUCAGUGUGCACGUACUAUAUUUCGAUAAGAACACCUAUUUCCUUCAUGGAAAAUAUGGCCCAGUCUCCUUAGCAGCACCAAAAAUUUGCGGCCACCCUAAGGCUUGGGCACAGGUGACAAUGGGCUCAGCGUUCAUGUUGGUUGCAAAUAGUAGAAGUUGGUACUGCAUUUCAGGACCCUCACCCCCUGACUGUUGUUUAGCUCCCUUAAUAAGCAAACAGUGGGAUGGCAUUGAUUUUAGAUGAGGCUGAACCUUAUUGCUUUACAUAUCAGCAUUGCAGAACUAUGGGUACAUUUAGACAAGAGGUGGUGCUCUCAUUUUAACUUGAGUGCCAAUUAACUUAUUAGCUAACACCUUUGCAGAUGCUAUUCUAGACACUCCACAAAUGUUUGUGAUUUGUCUUUGACAAAAAUCUAGUGAAGACACUGCAAGCAUAGUAUUUCAGUGUGUCAGCAGGACGCUUCUCUUUUCUCCACCUGCUGGCCUGAAACUGACAUAAAAUAAAGGUUAACAAUUAUAUCAUUUAUUUCAUCUUUCACUUCUUUACAAAAAUUAACUCACUGAGCCCCACAACUCCCCAGUGAGGUGGGUAAGCAUAUUAUCAUCCUGGUUUGGGAAACUGAGACAGGUAAAGUGACUUCCACAAGGUGGCACAGCAGGUCAUUUGCUAGAGACAUAAGAUGACUUUAGGAGUCCUAGCCCAGUAAUGAAUAUUUAUCUUCCUGGGAAAGAUGAUAUAGAGCCAAAAAGAUAGGUGAAGAGAAUAAACGAUAGAGAUGAUGACAGAGUGAACACUAAUACAGUUGACUGCAGAAACAGACAGGCAGAAAGGUAAUAGUGAUGAUCCUGAGUCACAUUUUCACUUAACUGUGUUGUUCCACAGUUCAUUGUGGAUUACAUGGGACACCACAAGUUCUAAUAUUUGCUUUGUGAACCAUUUGAACAUUGUUGCUUUGACAGUGUUACUUUGUGAUGGAUCUUGAAUAAUUCAUUCAUCCAGAAAAUGUUUGAGAGUUGAACCUGGCACCUAGAAAAUGUUAGCAUUUCUCUGUGUGCCUCCCACCUCCACUGUUUCAGCUAUCUAGUUUUACCCAGGCUUGUUUUCUACUAUCCAUGUGGUUUUAGGGGUGUGAAAAAUAUUGGUGAGAAUUUGAUUAUGCUUUUAGCUGCCCAAAGGUAUUUUGACAACUAUAAAUGAAAGAGGGGAACUACAGAGACGGGAUUUGUUAAACAGGUAGGGAUCAAGCAUUCUAUUUCUCUACACAAUGUAACUGUAUUUCAUGGUCAUUGUCAAAUUGCUUCAACAGAGAAAACUUGCAACAGCACGGAGGUUCUAGUAAAAGAGUUAAAGGAAAAAAAUUAUUGGAUGGAAAGUUGAACUCAAUUACUCAAAUAUGAAAUGAGUAGCUCUGAAAAGAAGCAUUUCUGGCUGGACAGUGGGUAUUAUCAGGGCCUGGUUAAGGCCUGGAAUUUCAGAGUUUUAUAAAACAGUACAUGUAAAAAAACUUGGAUGAAAAUUUCAUAUGAAAGCUAGAAAACUUUGCUAAUUAUACCUACAGUCAUGGUACUAAAGGGCAGGAAACCUGGUCUGGAUUCUUGACUACUGCAGGCUUGUGGCAUGACCCUUGGCCAACUCAUUUAACCUCUGAGUUUUCUCCAUAGGUUAAUAAUAUCUUCCUCACAAGAGUGCUGCAGGGUAAGGUCAUUUUCUGUAAAGCACUUUGCGAUCCUGGGAUGGAAGGUGCUGUGGCAUCUGAGAGAAGAAUAAUUGAUUAUAAAAACUGGGGACACAGCAAAUAAUGAAGAACUACUAUAGUCAGAUACCGGGUCAGCUGGGCCAGUGAGUAGAAAAUACCAUUUAAGGCAGUCUAAUCUAGUCUACACUACAACAGUAGGGCAAAUUUAUGGCUGAAUUAAGGAGCAAAGAGUGUAUUGCAUGAUGCCCUCUAGUGCAUAGUGGGUGAAAUUCACUCCUGUGCAGAGAAGUCUUGUAUCACAUAAAUCUCACCAUUUGAUCUUGAGUGGGAUUAGUUUGUAUCCAAGCCCUCUGCACAGGGUGAUAUUCACCCUUUGUGUGUAUAGUUUUUUCACCGUAUAGGAAGGUUACUGUUGCUCGGCGGAGGGUUCUGUGUAUUUAUUUAAAUAUAAAUGCCUCAAACACUGGGUAUAUCAUAGCAAAAUAAAAUAGAUAUAUCCUCAUGCUUGGUUGGGUGACAGGGCCUGGUCAAGUCUUGCUUUGCUUCCUGAAAGCAGGCCCAGCAUCUGGCAAAACAUCAGAAUGAGUUCCAGAGGCCCUCUACCCAAUAUCCUGGCUCAGGUGCUGAAGCUGUCAUCACUGAUCUGACAACGAGUGACCAAGUAAAAGCCUUUGUUCCAAUCAGAUACUAAUAGAGUGCCUCCAACUCCCUCACCAAUCACUCUAGUGUGCUGAGAUGGCAACCUUUACCAAAUAAGGACCCAAUCCUGCUCUGACGAAGGUAAAUUAGAAAUAUGACUUCGUGAAUAUCAAUAGUCCCAUGAUAUUCACCAAAAACGUACACAUUCCUAAUUCACACUGAUUUUUUCCUUGAGCUCAGCUAAAUCUAAUAUUCAGCCUCUCAUAUUAAUGAGUUUUGACUGUUAGAUCCACCAGCUUAAGCAGCUUAUCUUUCUGUCCCCUAAUGCUGGCGACCAUUUCACAUGUAUCACAGUGUAUAAUGAGUAAAAAUUAAAGGGACUUAGCUGCAUUGUUAAUACAAUACGAUAGUUAAAAACAAACUAAGGAAUUAGUAUACCAGAUCUGUGAUUUUAAUAAAUGAAUAUAAAUGUUGAAGCACAUAUAAAGCAAAAGAUGAAAACAAAAUGUUAUAUUACAGCCCCCAUAAAGCUAGUAUCAUUGAAUACAUCAAAUACUUUUUUUUUUUUUUUACAAGCCCAUCAUUUACGCAUGAGGUCAGCGUACAAAAACAGUGGAUAACAGAAGAGGAUUUUCUCCCCAACACAACUAAGAAUUAAGAGGAAGGUCACAGUAAAUAAUUACAAUCUGAGCAUUUCCUAUACUUUGGAAGUCUGUUGCUCAUUAUGAUAACACAACUUUAAAUUAGAACAAGCAUAGACUGAGCUGAUAUUUUUCCAGACCCUCAGUCCACUGGGUGUAUUGUGUUAGACUCUUGAACAAAAGAGACAGUAGGGUGGGUUUACACAUUGAGAUAUGGAAUAAAAGGAUUUUUCUGUUAAAAGAACACAAUUAAAUAGCUGUGAUUCUAGCAAAUCUAUGUAUAUUUAUUAUUUGAAGAUUUCUGCUGGGCAUUCCUUGGUGAACAAACUUUGUUUGCAGUAUUAAAACUACUAUUUUGCCCAAUUUAUCGAUGAGCUCAAUGUAAUAAAUAGUCUAUAUACUGCUUCACACAUUGGGAAAGGAAAGCCUAUGUCCUGAUGCUGUAUUCUUUACACCCCUGUAACUUCCUUUGACUAUGUGAGAAAUGUAGGCCCUAUGCAGAUAGCACGAGUGUAAAUGUAGAAAUGUGUACUUACUGAGCAGUAAUGCAAACAGGAGAUACACAUGGCUUUGAAAUGCCAAAGGCUGUAUUAGUAAUCAAGUCUGGUCCUUGAGUUAUUAUUUAAGGUGUUUUUCAUAGGUUCCACUAUACCAUACAAACCUAGUUCAAGUUUACUAGGCUAGCAGAUAAUGUUAAAGUUUGGGGUAUAAAAGUUACUGGCUAACAAUCCAAGAUGUGGUAGAAAACAAAAUAAUUUCGCCAUUAAAAUCAAGAAAUAAAAAUUCUGAUAAUGUAAUUUACAAAUUUCGUCUUUUGAAAAAACACUUUGUAAGCACAAACUUUAAAUGGGGAUUGGACAGAUCUGAUCAUCCUGACUGUUCCAAAUUGUUUUAAUCCAUUUUAAAAAUUGCCCUGUUAAAUUCUACAGAGAUGAAAAAGGAAACACUACUACUAGCUACCACUAACACCUCAAAGAAACUUUGUCUUGCAUUGAGAAAAACCUCGAGUAUCUUUGUAGGGCCUUGAUUCGGUCAUCCUUACUUAGCCUUACUCCACCAGUAGUGAUAAUGAUUCUUCCACAAGCACAGCAGAUUCCGCCCCAUAUGAUUACAUAACACUGGCUUCAUUAGGAUUAUUUUUACUUAAAAAAAAUACAAAACUCGUGUGAGAUUGAUAUGCUUCAGCUAUCAAAAAUCUUGGUAGAAGGAAGAAAAAAAAUGGCAAACAAAGCUGUUGCCAUUGAAAGGAGACAAUCUCUCCUUACAUUCUAGAGGGUCUAUUUUUAUUUUACUCCCCCAGAACUCCCACCUUCCAUAACACAGCUCCAAAAUUCCAGGGUAAGGGAGAACUUGUUCUCUGGAGGCCACAAAAUAGAUAUUAUUUUGUUCCCAUCCCACCUCUUUAAACAACAGAGAACAUUAUGUACUUGUCACCCAUUGGUCUAAGAAGAAUAUGCCUCCAUGAGGAAUUUAUAAUGUGUUAUGCCUGAAUGUCAGCCCUCAGUCUGCACAAAGAACAACUGUUUUCUCUACAUUCCAGUAUUUACUGGUGUGGGCAGUUCAGAUAUAUGCUCCUAGUGGUGCAUGGGAUGGCAGUAGUUGGGGAGAGACCACAACAAAGGCAGCAGCAGAAUAGCUCUUAAACGCACAAAGCUGCACACUUGUUACAAAACUAAUUCAAGCAACAUAAACACAGCCCCCAAAAUACAUUGUCUUUCCUCUUACAAUUCACUCUAGGAAGCAUCUUCUGCAAUAUCUUACGCAGCAAAUCUGGAAAGUGGCCUGAGUUUUUGGGGGCUUUUUUUAAAAUGCUUUCAGGGUGCACUCAGUCUUUUUCUGCCAAAUUGAGCAAUUAAUUUCUUUUGGUUUCCAUACAAAUGAGAAUAUCAGACAUCUAGAUCUCCUCUUAUUUAUACACAAACAUAUGGAGCACAAACCUUUCCUGACACCCAAACUAUUUAAGAUGACUGCAUGACAUUGCUUUAAGCUUUAUGAAACACUAAUUGAAGCAAAAGGCCAGGGAACUAGUUGGAUUCCUGGAGUGGAUUCCUAAAAUAUGUUUUUAUUCAUCAGCGUUAUUGUUUCUGGGGACAACAACAAAAUGCUUUGGCACUAGAGCUCAGUGUUGCUACUUCAAAGAUUAUCACUGACUUUGGCCAAGAUACCAGUUCCUAUGUGCUUACAGCUUACCUCUGUAAGGCAGCACUUUAAAACAUUAAAAGCACUUAUUUAAAAAAGCAGUUUUAUUCACGGCUUAAAAAUUGUUUGGACUCAUGCAGAAAGCUUUGUUUUGCUCUGCAGACACUGUUUGCUGUUGAGAUUUUCCACUCCAGUCAUUGCUGCCUUUAAUCUGACAGAGCACUGAAGAUCAACCAAGAUACAAGAGAGAAGAUACUUCAUUGUCUAGUACAUGACUAUAUACUAACUCCUCAAGGUAAAUGGAUUCACAAUGAUUGGUAAAUACAGGAAUCUAUAAUUUGCACCCAAUUUUAGAUCACUAUCACCACCACUGAAAAUUGAUUUCAUUUUUAUUGCUACACAAAAAAUACCUGCUUUAUUUUUUCUGCAUGCAGAUUCUAAUACUAUUUUACAUUGAUCCCCUGAUAUAUAAAGAGAAUUAAUAACUGGUUUUUAGAUAACUCAAUGCUGUAAUUACACAUUAAUAGCAAGAGUUGAAGCUAGCCAACCACAUUCAAGAAUCCAUUUCAAAUCACCAUCAAUAUCAGGAAUGACUCAUGCCUGUUGCAAUGAAAGAAACUCACCAAGGGAUUCUAACAAAAGAAUUUCCCCCCUCAGCAAUUCAGUGACUGCUCACUGCACAGUUGCAAUGUUUUGCCCUUACAUAGAGGUUUUUCAUAGGUGGGCAAACAUUAUAAUCCCUCAUUUACAGAUAGACUCACCAUUGAUCUAGGUAGGUGCAGGAAUAGAACCUGACUCCCAGUCCACUGUCUGACACACUAGGCCAUAUUGCUAAUGGAAAUUAAUGCAAGCUCUUACUGUACAUGUGAUGUAUAGCUUGUAAGUAUGUUUGAUAAAAAAAAAUUGUGAUUUGAUGAGUAUGGUUUUAUUAUGAUCUGAAUUUCUCAAGUGCUUUGCACAACAAAAUGGGAUUACAACUGUUUAGUUUAUUAGCUAAUUUAAUGUAUUUGUGGUGCUCCCAACAGCAGGUUAUUACUUGCAAAUUUUCAUUGAGGGAAGAGGAUAAGAAACUGCCCCCAAAGUGAGUAUUUUGUACUACAUGGCACAUAGGGAUGAACUUCACUUCUUUGGCUACCCACCAGUGUGAUAUUUUCUUAAAGCAAAGCACCCACUCUAGAUUACUGUAGCAAAAAACAGAUCAAACACAAAUCAAGACAUACUGAUCUGUUACAUUCAUACAGCAACAGACUAUGCAAACUUUAAAUUUAAGCUCAAACAACAAGGAACCAAAGCUUUAAGGAAAUAUCAGCACCCUUAUAAAACUGUAUACUAAUCCUGGAAUGGGCAGGAGUAUACACUACUUUCUACUUCUCUCAGCACCUCUAUUUCCUGCAUGAGUGGGAUGUUUUCUUAUGCUAAAUUUCAUUAAUUGUUAACACUCAGAGGUCACAGAAGUUCUGGUAUUCAAUACACAGAUGUUUGAAGGUACAAUUGUGAUUUAUUCCUUCCUCCCUUGCACUCAGGAUCAAAUAGCUUCACCAUAGGAAGUUCAUGUUUCAGGAGAAUUUCUGACACAUUAUCCCAUCAGCAACCACAUUCACGUCUUACAAAGCUGUGCUGAUUUUACAGUACAGGCUGGUGAGGCAGACUCUAACAGAAGAAUCACUCACAGAAAUUAGAGAAGGAAAAAGACCCAUUUUCAAGUUCAUCCCCAGUACUAGUGCAGAAUUGUCAUAAGAUUGUCUCAUGCUUCUGUGCCUGUUAGUUUUGAGAAACAUUUGAGAUAAAAUGGUCUUGAAAGAAAAA